AGGAUUCCCUUAGUAGCGGCGAGCGAACCGGGAGAAGCCCAGCUUGAAAAUCGCGUGUGCUUUUUCGAAGGCGGCGCGAGUUGUAGUCUGGAGAAGUGUCCUCUGCGGCGGACCCGGCCUAAGUCCCCUGGAAAGGGGCGUCAGAGAGGGUGAGAACCCCGUCGGGCCGGGACCCUGUUGCUCCACGAGGCGCUGUCGAGGAGUCGGGCUGUUUGGGAAUGCAGCCCUAAGCGGGAGGUAAAUUCCUUCCAAGGCUAAAUACGGGCGGGAGACCGAUAGCGAACAAGUACCGCGAGGGAAAGAUGAAAAGGACUUUGAAAAGAGAGUCAAAGAGUGCUUGAAAUUGCUGGGAGGGAAGCGAAUGGAGGCCUGGUGUGCGCCCCGGUCGGAUGCGGAACGGCUUUAGGGCUGGUCCGCCGCUCGACGCGGGGUGCUGGUCGGCGUGGGCUUCUCCGGCGGGAUAAAAGUUUUGGGCCGCUCGCGUGCGCCCCUUGCCYUUCSGGGGUGGGGAUCGUCUCGCGUUUGGCCCGGCCGAUGCCGUCGGGGAGGUCGAGGAACCCGUGGAAGUGCGCGUCCCUUCGGGGACGGGUCCUCCCAUACAAGUCUUUCUUGUCCGUGCGUGUCUCUUUCUGAGGCGCGCGCGGAUAGGGAUGAUGGAGUGGGGGGGCACCUGCGUACUCGGGACGCCGGCGUAGUGGGCUUUUCAUCCGACCCGUCUUGAAACACGGACCARGGAGUCUAACAUGCACGCGAGUCGGUGGGCGGCAAACCCAAUGAGGGAGGGGGGAGAGUUCAUUCUUUUUCCCUUGUCUCGGACCGGCGAAAAUAACUUAACUGGUGUGAUCCUUUAGCCUGCGGGCGGGGUGCAACAUCGACCGACCAUGAGCAUCUCGAUGCGAAAGGUUCGAGUAAGAGCGUGCCUGUUGGGACCCGAAAGAUGGUGAACUAUGCCUGAGCAGGGCGAAGCCGGAGGAAACUCCGGUGGAGGCUCGUAGCGAUACUGACGUGCAAAUCGUUCGUCAGACUCGGGUAUAGGGGCGAAAGACUAAUCGAACCAUCUAGUAGCUGGUUCCCUCCGAAGUUUCCCUCAGGAUAGCCGGAGCAGGAGGAGUUUCGUCAGGUAAAGCCAAUGAUUAGAGGCAUCGGGGGUGAAACACCCUCGACCUAUUCUCAAACUUUAAAUAGGCGAGAUCCGUGAUCUGGGGUUGCUUGAUUGAACCCCCGGGUGCGGAGAAUCCGUAUUUGCUCCGAGUG
rnacentral:rRNA from 1 species